UGAAUGCAGUGUCUAUAAAAGCUUUAACUGUUGCAGCCAUAUUCACAGGCCUGAAGUUGAUUGACAGCAGUCUGGACAAAUGGCUAAUGAAAGUGAUGGCUGGUUUUGUUGGCUGGGAAGCUUUGUUCUACAUUAUGUUGGAGGUCCAUUUAAAAUGGAAGGUUAACAGUGCAGAUAUUUUGGAAUCAAAAAUGAUAACAGUUGAUGGCCUGCUGAUGGCUCUGUUCUUCCUGGGAAAUUUCACCUUUUUGAUGACACUGUUGGUUGGAAUUGGGAUGUCAUAAGAAGAGUAACAACAGAGC